GUAGGUGGCAAGCGUUGUCCGGAAUUAUUGGGCGUAAAGCGCGCGCAGGCGGUUCUUUAAGUCUGAUGUGAAAGCCCACGGCUCAACCGUGGAGGGUCAUUGGAAACUGGAGAACUUGAGUACAGAAGAGGAAAGCGGAAUUCCACGUGUAGCGGUGAAAUGCGUAGAGAUGUGGAGGAACACCAGUGGCGAAGGCGGCUUUCUGGUCUGUAACUGACGCUGAGGCGCGAAAGCGUGGGGGAGCAAACAGGAUUAGAUACCCUGGUAGUCCACGCCGUAAACCGAUGAGUGCUAAGUGUUAGGGGGUUUUCCGCCCCGUUAGUGCUGCAGCUAACGCAUUAAGCACUCCGCCUGGGAGUACGGCCGCAAGGCUG
rnacentral:rRNA from 1 species